UUUACUUUAGUAGAGGCGAUCGAAAAAGUAUUAUUAUCAAAGUACCGUAAGGGAUAUUUGAAAAAAAGAUGAAAUAGUUUAAAAAGGUUAAAAAAGAAGGAAUAAACUCCCGUACCUUUUGCAUCAUGGUCUAGCCACUUAACACGAUAAUUUUAUCUUUACCCGAAAUCAGACGAUCUAUUCUUGUUCGGCUUUUAGAGCCCUCCCCAUCACUGUCGCAAUAGUGCAGGAAGAAAUAAGAAUAGAGGUGAAACGCCAAACGCGCCUGAUGAUAGCUGGUAACUUCUGAAAGAAGUAGGAGCUUCGCACGCACCAAGCGAUGUAAGGGAUCCAAGGAUAAGCCUGGUUCCCAAGAUAGAAACAACUACUAAUCCAAAUAAGGCCAAUAACCAAAACCCUAAUUCAACUGUAGGCUUAGAAGCAGCCACCAAGAACGCGUUAAAGCUCAUGAAAGACUUAUACAAAAAUUUUUGCAAAAACAGCCAAAUUAACAAUAGGAAGUUAUAAUUAUAUAAUUACUGAUUCUGCUAGAACUAGUAACACCGUCCCACUUGCCUAAAUAUACGGACCCUAACCAAGGAUGGGAUUAACACGAAAACACAAAUUUUUAAAAUACGAAACCUCAUCCUACCGUGGACACCAACUCAGGAGGGACACCUAACCAUAAAUAGAGAGAAGGAACUCGGCAAAAAAGACCUCGCCUGUUUACCAAAAACAUCGCCCCCUGCUUUUCCAAACAUAGGGGGUACUGCCUGCCCAGUGAAUUUUCAACGGCCGCGGUAUCCUGACCGUGCAAAGGUAGCGCAAUCACUAGUUCUCUAAGUAAGGACCUGUAUGAAUGGCAACACGAGGGUCUAACUGUCUCCUCUCUAUCCCACGAAACUUCUCUGGUGGUGCAAAAGCCGCCAUAUAAGCGCCAGACGAGAAGACCCUAUCGAGCUUAAGAGCCAAAAAGAACGGACCAUAUUAAAGUAGGCAUUCUCCUUCUUUUCCCGCUUUCUUUUACGUUUUUUGGUUGGGGCAACCGCGGAGACUACACAACCUCCGCACCAAGAUAAUAAGACUUCACGUCAAGAACGGAAAAGUGAUCCGGUACACCCGAACAAUGAAAAAAGUUACCGUAGGGAUAACAGCGUAAUCCCUCCUGAGAGCCCACAUUGACGGAGGGGCUUGCGACCUCGAUGUUGGAUCGGGAAACCCUGAUGGUGCAGCCGCUAUCAAAGGUUGGUCUGUUCGACCAUUAAAACCCCACGUGAUCUGAGUUCAGACCGGCGAGAGCCAGGUCGGUUUCUAUCUACGCAAUACGCCCCCCUAAGUACGAAAGGACAAGGGUGGCCAGGCUUCCACUUUAGAUUAGCCUGC
rnacentral:rRNA from 1 species